GUGGAUUGUGCGGCUUAAUUUGACUCAACGCGGGGUAAUUUACCAGGUAUAACAUGAUAUAAUAUUUUAUCAUGAUAGUGGUGCAUGGCCGUUUCCAAUGGAUGCUGUGAAGUAAUGAUUAAUUUCAACAAGAUGUGAGACCCUCUAUUAAGACAGAUGUAGUGAUACAUAUGAAGGAGAGGAUUAAAACAGGUCCGUUAUGCCCUAAGAUAAUCUGGGUUGCACGCGCAAUACAAUAAUAUUUAAUAUUAUAAGGGAUAAUAUAAUGUAAGAUAUAUUUGAACAUGGAAUUGCUAGUAAAUUUUAUUUAAUAAGUAGAAUUGAAUGUAUCCCUGUUCUUUGUACACACCGCCCGUCGCUAUCUAAGAUGGUAUUAUCUAUGAACAAAUUUAUAAAGUGAAUAGAUAGUACUAGAUCUGAUAUAAGUCGUAACAUGGUUGCUGUUGGAGAACCAUUAGCAGGAUCAUAA
rnacentral:rRNA from 1 species